rnacentral:lncRNA from 1 species
UUUGUUUCAGUACUUCUAGGCAAGAAGUAUGAACAUGAUUAAGACUAAAUGAUCAAUGAUCACACUAUGAGCAACAACUUUUAUGUGAUUACUGAAUUAUACAGUAACAAGUAUUUAGUAUAUGAGUCAAGGUGUAUUGUAGAAUCCUUGUGUAAUUGCUUCAUGUGUUGGUAUGAUGAUAGUGAGGCCUUUAUAUAGAGCUUGGAAAUGAUACUGUUUGAGAGAAAAUUGAUGGAGAUAUCUUGCCAAUUAUGGGACUUAAUGACAUUAAUUUUCUUGUCCUUUUCAUAGCAGUCUUGGAGUGUAAUCAAUAAUGUCCUUAUAUAGAUUUAUACCAUACUUAGUGAAAUUCUG